AUCACUUCUUAGCCUUUUGGAUAAGAUCAAGUGUAGUAUCUGUUCUUAUCAGUUUAAAAAAUGUGGCAAGAAUUAGUCCUC
ensembl:snRNA U2 U2 spliceosomal RNA